rnacentral:rRNA from 1 species
CCUACGGUGGGCAGCAGUGAGGAAUAUUGGUCAAUGGGCGUAAGCCUGAACCAGCCAAGUCGCGUGAGGGAUGAAGGUUCUAGGGAUCGUAAACCUCUUUUAUAAGGGAAUAAAGUGUGGGACGUGGCCUGUUUUGUAUGUAACUUAUGAAUAAGGAUGGGCUAACUCCGUGCCAGCAGCCGCGGGAAUACGGGGGGUGCAAGAGGUGUCCGGAAUACUUGGGCGUAAAGAGUUCGUAGCCGGCACGUAAAGUCUAGUGUUAAAGGCAGAGGCUCAACUGCUGUACGGCACUGGACACUUGCGAGCUAGAAUGCGGUAGAGGUAAAGGGAAUUCCUGGUGUAGCGGUGAAAUGCUUAGAUAUCAGGAGGAACAUCGGUGGCGUAAGCGCUUUACUGGGCCGUAAUUGACGCUGAGGAACGAAAGCCAGGGUAGCAAAUGGGAUUAGAUACCCUUGUAGUC